rnacentral:rRNA from 1 species
GACGAACGCUGGCGGCGUGCUUAACACAUGCAAGUCGAACGGAAAGGCCCUGCUUUUGUGGGGUGCUCGAGUGGCGAACGGGUGAGUAACACGUGAGUAACCUGCCCUUGACUUUGGGAUAACUUCAGGAAACUGGGGCUAAUACCGGAUAGGAGCUCCUGCUGCAUGGUGGGGGUUGGAAAGUUUCGGCGGUUGGGGAUGGACUCGCGGCUUAUCAGCUUGUUGGUGGGGUAGUGGCUUACCAAGGCUUUGACGGGUAGCCGGCCUGAGAGGGUGACCGGCCACAUUGGGACUGAGAUACGGCCCAGACUCCUACGGGAGGCAGCAGUGGGGAAUAUUGCACAAUGGGCGGAAGCCUGAUGCAGCAACGCCGCGUGCGGGAUGACGGCCUUCGGGUUGUAAACCGCUUUCGCCUGUGACGAAGCGUGAGUGACGGUAAUGGGUAAAGAAGCACCGGCUAACUACGUGCCAGCAGCCGCGGUGAUACGUAGGGUGCGAGCGUUGUCCGGAUUUAUUGGGCGUAAAGGGCUCGUAGGUGGUUGAUCGCGUCGGAAGUGUAAUCUUGGGGCUUAACCCUGAGCGUGCUUUCGAUACGGGUUGACUUGAGGAAGGUAGGGGAGAAUGGAAUUCCUGGUGGAGCGGUGGAAUGCGCAGAUAUCAGGAGGAACACCAGUGGCGAAGGCGGUUCUCUGGGCCUUUCCUGACGCUGAGGAGCGAAAGCGUGGGGAGCGAACAGGCUUAGAUACCCUGGUAGUCCACGCUGUAAACGGUGGGUACUAGGUGUGGGGUCCAUUCCACGGGUUCCGUGCCGUAGCUAACGCUUUAAGUACCCCGCCUGGGGAGUACGGCCGCAAGGCUAAAACUCAAAGGAAUCGACGGGGCCCCGCACAAGCGGCGGAGCAUGCGGAUUAAUUCGAUGCAACGCGUAGAACCUUACCUGGGUUUGACAUGGAUCGGGAGUGCUCAGAGAUGGGUGUGCCUCUUUUGGGGUCGGUUCACAGGUGGUGCAUGGCUGUCGCCAGCUCGUGUCGUGAGAUGUUGGGUUAAGUCCCGCAACGAGCGCAACCCUUGUUCACUGUUGCCAGCACGUUAUGGUGGGGACUCAGUGGAGACCGCCGGGGUCAACUCGGAGGAAGGUGGGGAUGACGUCAAGUCAUCAUGCCCCUUAUGUCCAGGGCUUCACGCAUGCUACAAUGGCUGGUACAGAGAGUGGCGAGCCUGUGAGGGUGAGCGAAUCUCGGAAAGCCGGUCUCAGUUCGGAUUGGGGUCUGCAACUCGACCUCAUGAAGUCGGAGUCGCUAGUAAUCGCAGAUCAGCAACGCUGCGGUGAAUACGUUCCCGGGGCU